GGCGUCUAUACCCUGUCUGAGGCUUAUGUGGUGGUUUAUGAUGAGGUUUAUCAGCAGGUGGGUCAGGUUCAUCAGCGAGUGAGUCAGGUUCAUCAGCGAGUGAGUGUUUUGGGAAUGGUUUAGGUUCAUAACCGAGUAAGUGAUUUCUGGGUGGUGUCACUUUGUCACAUUUAGCAGCUUCACUGCUAUCAUCAGCGAGUGAUGAGGGGAUUGUGGCGUGAAUCACUGCUACUCCGAGCAGGAACAACACUAGCAAGCAUUUAGGAGAAGAC
rnacentral:misc_RNA from 1 species